rnacentral:rRNA from 1 species
GUCGAGCGGAACGAUGAUAGCUUGCUAUCAGGCGUCGAGCGGCGGACGGGUGAGUAAUGCUUAGGAAUCUGCCCAGUAGUGGGGGACAACAGUCGGAAACGGCUGCUAAUACCGCAUACGCCCUACGGGGGAAAGCAGGGGAUCUUCGGACCUUGCGCUAUUGGAUGAGCCUAAGUCGGAUUAGCUAGUUGGUGAGGUAAAGGCUCACCAAGGCCACGAUCCGUAGCUGGUUUGAGAGGAUGAUCAGCCACAUCGGGACUGAGACACGGCCCGAACUCCUACGGGAGGCAGCAGUGGGGAAUAUUGGACAAUGGGGGCAACCCUGAUCCAGCCAUGCCGCGUGUGUGAAGAAGGCUUUCGGGUUGUAAAGCACUUUCAGCGAGGAGGAAGGCUCUAAAGCUAAUACCUUUAGGGAUUGACGUUACUCGCA